rnacentral:lncRNA from 10 species
GAAAGAUGACAAGGACUCACCCAAGAAGAACAAGGGCAAGGAGCGCCGGGACCUGGAUGACCUCAAGAAGGAGGUGGCUAUGACAGAGCACAAGAUGUCAGUGGAAGAGGUCUGCCGGAAAUACAACACAGACUGUGUGCAGGUGUGGCCAGGCUGUGGGCUGGGACCCUGGGAACUAGGGAGGAGGAGCUGGGGGCUAGGACCCCUGGGUCUGAGGGAGGAGGGGCUGUGGCUGGUGUCUUAAGUUCUGGGGGU